rnacentral:rRNA from 1 species
AACGUAGGAGGCGAGCGUUAUCCGGAGUUACUGGGCGUAAAGCGCGAGUAGGUGGUCAUGAAGGUCGGGUGUAAAAGCUCCCAGGCUAAACCGGGAGAGGUCACUCGAAACCGCAAGACUUGAGGGCAGGAGAGGUACGUGGAAUUCCGGGUGUAGUGGUGAAAUGCGUAGAGAUCCGGAGGAACACCAGAGGCGAAGGCGGCGUACUGGCCUGACCCUGACACUGAGACGCGAAAGCAUGGGGAGCAAACGGG